rnacentral:rRNA from 1 species
GAUUUCUGACCUGAAACAUUUUGCCGGCCACGGUUUCGUGUGUUAGUGCUUGAUGUUCUGGUCAUCCUUCCAAUCGCUGUCUGCUUUUCUUCAUUGAUUAGUUGAUGGUAUUGGAUCUUUUACUUUGAAAAAAUUAGAGUGUUUCAAGCAGGCUAUUGCUAUGAAUACAUUAGCAUGGAAUAAUAAUUUAGGACUUCGGUUCUAUUUUGUUGGUUUCUAGGACUGAAGUAAUGAUUGAUAGGGAUAGUUGGGGGUGCUAGUAUUCAGCGGCCAGAGGUGAAAUUCUUGGAUUCGCUGAAGACUAACUUAUGCGAAAGCAUU